rnacentral:rRNA from 1 species
CAACCUGCCGCUUACUCGGGGAUAGCCUUUCGAAAGAAAGAUUAAUACCCGAUGGUAUAAAGAGUUCGCAUGUUCUCUUUAUUAAAGAAUUUCGGUAAGCGAUGGGGAUGCGUUCCAUUAGAUUGUUGGCGGGGUAACGGCCCACCAAGUCUACGAUGGAUAGGGGUUCUGAGAGGAAGGUCCCCCUCAUUGGAACUGAGACACGGUCCAAACUCCUACGGGAGGCAGCAGUGAGGAAUAUUGGUCAAUGGACGAGAGUCUGAACCAGCCAAGUAGCGUGAAGGAUGACUGCCCUAUGGGUUGUAAACUUCUUUUAUAAGGGAAUAAAGUGAGGGACGUGUCCCUUCUUGUAUGUACCUUAUGAAUAAGGAUCGGCUAACUCCGUGCCAGCAGCCGCGGUAAUACGGAGGAUCCGAGCGUUAUCCGGAUUUAUUGGGUUUAAAGGGAGCGUAGGUUGACGUAUAAGUCAGCUGUGAAAGUUUACGGCUCAACCGUGAAAUUGCAGUUGAUACAGUAUGUCUUGAGUGUACAAGAGGUGGGCGGAAUUCGUGGUGUAGCGGUGAAAUGCUUAGAUAUCACGAAGAACUCCGAUUG